CUUGUCUUUUAAAUGAAGACCUGUAUGAAUGGCACAACGAGGGCUUAGCUGUCUCCUUUUUCCAGUCAAUGAAAUUGAUCUCCCCGUGCAGAAGCGAGGAUAAAACCAUAAGACGAGAAGACCCUAUGGAGCUUUAGACGCCAGAAUAAAUCAUGUCAAAUACCCCCAAACACAGGGCCGAACUAAAUGAGCAUUAUUCCAUGUCUUUGGUUGGGGCGACCGCGGGGAAAUAAAAAACCCCCACGUGGACUGGAAUUAUGCUAUUCCACAACUAAGAGCCCCCGCUCUAGUUAACAGAAUUUCUGACCAACAAAGAUCCGGCAACGCCGAUCAACGGACCGAGUUACCCUAGGGAUAACAGCGCAAUCCUCUUUUAGAGCCCAUAUCGACAAGAGGGUUUACGACCUCGAUGUUGGAUCAGGACAUCCUAAUGGUGCAGCCGCUAUUAAGGGUUCGUUUGUUCAACGAUUAAAGUCCU
rnacentral:rRNA from 1 species